rnacentral:rRNA from 1 species
UACGUAGGGGGCAAGCGUUGUCCGGAAUCAUUGGGCGUAAAGAGCGUGUAGGCGGCUCGGUAAGUCCGCUGUGAAAGUCCAGGGCUCAACCCUGGAAAGCCGGUGGAAACUGUCGAGCUCGAGUCCGGAAGAGGCGAGUGGAAUUCCUGGUGUAGCGGUGAAAUGCGCAGAUAUCAGGAGGAACACCAAUGGCGAAGGCAGCUCGCUGGGACGGUACUGACGCUGAGGCGCGAAAGCGUGGGGGAGCAAACAGG